CAGACUAGAGUGCGGUAGGGGAGAUUGGAAUUCCUGGUGUAGCGGUGGAAUGCGCAGAUAUCAGGAGGAACACCGAUGGCGAAGGCAGAUCUCUGGGCCGUAACUGACGCUGAGGAGCGAAAGGGUGGGGAGCAAACAGGCUUAGAUACCCUGGUAGUCCACCCCGUAAACGUUGGGAACUAGUUGUGGGGACCAUUCCACGGUUUCCGUGACGCAGCUAACGCAUUAAGUUCCCCGCCUGGGGAGUACGGCCGCAAGGCUAAAACUCAAAGGAAUUGACGGGGACCCGCACAAGCGGCGGAGCAUGCGGAUUAAUUCGAUGCAACGCGAAGAACCUUACCAAGGCUUGACAUAUACGAGAACGGGCCAGAAAUGGUCAACUCUUUGGACACUCGUAAACAGGUGGUGCAUGGUUGUCGUCAGCUCGUGUCGUGAGAUGUUGGGUUAAGUCCCGCAACGAGCGCAACCCUCGUUCUAUGUUGCCAGCACGUAAUGGUGGGAACUCAUGGGAUACUGCCGGGGUCAACUCGGAGGAAGGUGGGGAUGACGUCAAAUCAUCAUGCCCCUUAUGUCUUGGGCUUCACGCAUGCUACAAUGGCCGGUACAAAGGGCUGCAAUACCGUGAGGUGGAGCGAAUCCCAAAAAGCCGGUCCCAGUUCGGAUUGAGGUCUGCAACUCGACCUCAUGAAGUCGGAGUCGCUAGUAAUCGCAGAUCAGCAACGCUGCGGUGAAUACGUUCCCGGGUCUUGUACACACCGCCCGUCAAGUCAUGAAAGUCGGUAACACCUGAAGCCGGUGGCCCAAC
rnacentral:rRNA from 1 species